UGCCCAGCAACGCCUAUCCCUACCUCCUCGCGGUACUAGCCGGGGUACGAGUAACCUUAGGGAAGAUCGGGUAACCAACAUCGGUGGGAACUCUGGUCGUAUGCUAACAGGAAAGG
rnacentral:ribozyme from 1 species